rnacentral:rRNA from 1 species
UACGCAGGGUGCGAGCGUUAAUCGGAAUUACUGGGCGUAAAGCGUGCGCAGGCGGUUGUGCAAGACAGAUGUGAAAUCCCCGGGCUUAACCUGGGAAUUGCAUUUGUGACUGCACGGCUAGAGUGUGUCAGAGGGGGGUGGAAUUCCACGUGUAGCAGUGAAAUGCGUAGAUAUGUGGAGGAAUACCGAUGGCGAAGGCAGCCCCCUGGGAUAACACUGACGCUCAUGCACGAAAGCGUGGGGAGCAAACAGG